rnacentral:rRNA from 1 species
UACGGGGGGAGCAAGCGUUGUUCGGAUUUACUGGGCGUAAAGGGCGCGUAGGCGGCCACCGCAAGUCCGUUGUGAAAUCUCUGGGCUUAACCCAGAACGGUCAGCUGAUACUGCGGGGCUAGAGUGCAGAAGGGGCAACUGGAAUUCUCGGUGUAGCGGUGAAAUGCGUAGAUAUCGAGAGGAACACCUGCGGCGAAGGCGGGUUGCUGGGCUGACACUGACGCUGACAGCGCGAAAGCUAGGGGAGCGAACGGG